ensembl:lncRNA URB1-AS1 URB1 antisense RNA 1 (head to head)
GCGAGGCUGGGACCGGCGGAAGGGGCGUGGCCUGCAGAAGGGGCGGGGCGAUAGGGAUCCAGAGUCUUGGGGAUCCAGAGUCUUGGGGCUCCAUGUGAGUUUGCUGUACCGGUUGUCCCGGUCACGGCAUGGGGCGAGCGGACACUCCACGACACCCCCCGCCCCCGGCUGCAGGGUUUGGGGUCCACCGGGGCGCAUUUCUGAUCCCAGUGGCUCUUCGGGUGCUCUUGGCCGGAAGAACUCCCAGACCUUUCACUCCUGGCCUGGCCGAUCCACGAAGACUCGGGCCCCGGCGCGUCCAAGCAGCACAAUGAGUAGUUCUUGACCCGAGGUCGCCCUGAAGGUGUCGCAUGAAGAGCUUGCUUCACACACAACAGGAUUCGAUACUUUGCCAAUUCAAGGCCCUGGUGGCUGGCCGGGAAGGUGGAUUCGCCUUGGCUAGGUGCCAGGCAGGUCCGCCUGUGCGGGUGCCCCUGACUUCGACCCCUAGCUUAUGUCACAGCCCGAACCAGAUCGACUGGUCUGGUAGCAGCCUGUCACUCCAGACUGUCCUCCACCCCAGACUUCCGCAAACUGAUGGGCUCUUUGCGCCGUGCAGGGUGGGAGGAGAAGACCAAACGAAGUAACGUCUGUAAAACCCCUUCCUGGACAGCGUAAGGCCUCCACAUCUAAGUUCCUGUCAUUAAAAUGGAGACAGCAAAGCCGACCCUAUCCAGUCCUUGGGACUGUUAUGAACAGAAAAUGAUGCAAUGUAUGAAAAACUGCUUUGAGGAGAAAAACAACACAGUGUGUUUUUGGAAGAUGUGAUUGAUUUGUAAACCGCAUUAAAUGCUCUGAAAUAAAAUGAAAGUAAAAAUAAGUAAAAACAGGCUGGUACAUAUUUUAA